AAUUUAAAGAAAUCUUUCUCUUUGUGUAUGAAUUAUUUAAAAUAAUUUAAGUGAUACUUAUUUAAUUUAAGUACAUUUUUCUGUGUCACAUCGACAUUUAUUUUAAGUAAUUAAUGAGUGUACUUUAAGACUAUUUUUAUCAGAGAAAUAUUCUUUGCAAAGAUAACCGUUACUUAAAAGAAGAAAACUGAAAAAUGAGAAACUAUCUUUCACAACAUCAAAAAAAUUUGUUUGCAUGUAAUUACGUUUAAACGUAACAUAUGGAUUAUAUAAAAAAUUACAAUUUUAUACAAUUCAUUCAAGUUAUGUACGAUAUUCUAAAUGUAAUUUAAUCGCAACUGACGUGUGACAAGAAUACAUCAUUUUUCUUGCGUUUGACGCUUCUACAUUUAAGAAACUAUUUUCAAAGAAAACUAAUAAACAUAAAGAUCCGUUCAAACAAUCUUCACGUCGAAACGUCGUAACGUUAUUCUAAUCGAAAAUAUUUCGAAAAAGUUAUCACUCAUUUUCGUCAGGUGAUACGAAGACAGCGGAGAUACGAUUUAUCUGAUUUAAAGAGACCAGACUUAAAAGCAAAGCUUUUCAGCAAAUAUCUCUUUUUUUUUUCUUUCAACGACUCUCGCUCGCAAUUUUGUUUUGUACAUUCGACGUGUGGCCAUUAGAUACUGAUAAAUUGGAGCGUACUUCUCGGGCAUGCGUUUGCAAGUGUUUUCUUCAUUUCUGGCAGGGGCUCAAGGCUCUCCCGCCUCAAGGAGCCCCCCCGCCUCCUCUCGCAUACGUAUAUCGACGGCAGCCCUUCGAAUUGUAUUUUCAGACUUUAUGACAAAAAUAAUCAAGAGCGCAAUGAGUCAUGCCCGUGAUUUUCACGAUGACUCGUAUAGUCGUUUCCCCCCUCGCAUCGACGAAGCCUUAUCUCUCCCUCCCCCCUCUCUCUGGAGAGUCCGACGACGCGCUUAAUCGCGCGUCCAGCGCGACAUCAAAGUCAGAGACGUAAGAUAUCAUUCAUUAUGGAAACGCAGAGAAGUAAAAUACAAGCGUUUUUAUCUAUAAACGAUAACACCUGGAGAUAACGUUGAUUGCUCUCGUUCUAAGCUAUCGAUGUAACAAGUAUAUUGAUUAAUUAUACAUUCGUUAUUAUUAAUUAAAGUUGUUUUAAAGAACAUAAUAGAAAUAAAUAUUAGAAUAGUA